GGCUGGUUCGAUGGUAGUAGAUUGUUAUCAGAACUUAUUAGUGUCACAAAAGUCGGUGUAUACCCCCCACUGCUAAAAUCUGACUGGCUAAAA
rnacentral:Y_RNA from 1 species